GAACAUACCUAUUGUUGCUUCGGCGGGAUCGCCCCGGCGCCCUCGGGCCCGGACCCAGGCGCCCGCCGGAGGACCCAAACUCUUGUCUUCAUGAGUAUCUUCUGAGUAAUACAAGCAAAUAAAUUAAAACUUUCAACAACGGAUCUCUUGGUUCUGGCAUCGAUGAAGAACGCAGCGAAAUGCGAUAAGUAAUGUGAAUUGCAGAAUUCCGUGAAUCAUCGAAUCUUUGAACGCACAUUGCGCCCGCCAGUAUUCUGGCGGGCAUGCCUGUUCGAGCGUCAUUUCAACCCUCAAGCCCCCGGGCUUGGUGUUGGGGAUCGGCCGCCCUCCGGCGCGCCGGCCCCGAAAUCUAGUGGCGGUCUCGCUGUAGCCUCCUCUGCGUAGUAAUACACCUCGCACCGGAACGCAGCCUGGCCACGCCGUUAAACCCCCCACUUC
rnacentral:rRNA from 1 species